CUAAUGAUUUGGAUAGGGAGCAGAAUGCACAAUGAAGUCUGUUCCUUUUGUUGGCUUGAAAAAAAAAAAAACAGUCCAUGCAGCAGUAACUAAGGAUCCCCUGAAGGUCUUGUGCAAGAAAAUGGGGAGGGAAGACAGAGAAAAUAUUUUAUCAUUAAGUUCAGAAUAUUGCUACACUGAAGCUGAAGCAACAAGUCUGCAAUCCAGAAGCACACGCUAAAUGUGAGGUCCCCAGCUCUUCAGGGGCAACACCCUUAAGCUACUGGAAAGUGGAAGGUUACUUGGAAUACACCAGGAUGUUGUCCAAAAAUCCUUCGCGGGGGCCACAUCUUUCAUAUCAGUUUCUCACUAGGAGGCUCCUAAUAAACUUGAGAUCCUCAAUCUCCUCUGGCUACCGAAAGAAGGUGCAAUGGGGAGGAUGUCCUCUACUACAGUGUUUUCCUCAGCCUUCUGUCUUGAUUUCACUUUGCUGCACUUUGGGAAAAGUGUGACCAGCAGAAGAGACUUAAGAGUUGUCUGAAGACUUAGGAAGGCAGUUGCAUUGAUUUAUGAUGGGUACACAUUCAGACAGUUAUAAGGGCUAGAAGUGUUGGGUUUUUUUAAACAACUUUUCAAUUGUGCAGAAUGUCCUGGUCCUUAGUCAGAAGUUAUGAUACAUGGUUUCCUCCAUUCACAAGGGAAAGAACUAUACCCACCAAUGACUGGGUUUUUCAAACCCAGAAAGCAGGCAACUGCUGGUCAUGUUUCUGCCUAAUGUAACUAUUAAACAGCUAAGUUUCAAAAAAUGAAUGAGUGCGACUUCAUGAAGAAAUGCAGCACUCAGAGUUUAUAAAGGAAGUAUAUUAAAAUGUUGACAGAUCCACUAAGAACUCUAGAGUGUUAAAUAAAGCCACAUUCUGCCCUUGAAUAUAUGGCCAUUAUCCCCACCAACUUCAGUGGGAGUUCCAUGCAUGUAAUUACUGGCAGAAUGUGUCAGAGGGUCAAAAGGUGCAUAACUUUCUACUUGUAAAACUGAGGUUGAGAAUUAUGGAUCUGACUCAGUGAAUGCCUGGAACACUAAAAACACAAAACAGAGAGACAAGGGGAUGCUCAGUUUAUUUUUGAUUCAACUGAUACAAGGAAGGAUUUUUAAAAUACGUCUGUCGAUAUUUUAACUGGCAUUUUCUCUUUUUUGUAAGGAAUGGAACGUCUGCAAAACAGUGACAGACAAUACGCACUGAGCAAAGUUUGAAUUUUACUAAGAUGCUAUAACAUUUUUUCAAUGUUGGAGAGUUAAUUACAACUUGCAACAAGCACUUCGAAGAUGUGAUUUAGUACAAUGGAUAUUCACUGCCCCACUUCUUAUCUUAAGUUUCCAACCAAAAAUGUAUAUUAAAAAAAUGUAAUAAUACAA